rnacentral:misc_RNA from 1 species
CAAGCACAAGGCUGCACGAGCAUUGCACGUGCGCGCGCGUGAUAUAUGGGUAACGCCAUACGAUCCAGACACAACGCCUCCUACGUGCCAUCGCAUACCUCUCAUUACGAGAAUCAAUACUGAUCGAAAACGGACAUCUAAGAUGUCCCUCACGUCUGAACACCAACUCCAAACGGGGCCAAAACAAGGCUAUUUGUACAGUGGACUGGAAUACGCGUAAACAACGACGCAACCGUUGCGCAGGAUGACCCCCUGAUGCGAUGACCGCAGCAAUAUUCUUGUUUUUCCGGCACUGGCGUCGUUUUGAGCUGUCAAUAUUGUGCCCAGUUAAUUUGUUUUACAGUAACUACAAGGUACCGGUAUUUGGCAACAGCCAGAGUUGAACCCACGCAUGCUUGUGUGUGAAAACCAAGGCCAGCCCUAAAGAGGGUAACUCCAAAGUACCAGAUGUACGCAGUUACCCUACCGCCCAUCGGAGAGAAUAAAUUUGAGAGCCGAAGAUACCAACCUAACCAGACAAAAAAACCCAAUUCUAGAACUGCUGGACAGCUUCCGAAUUUAUUUAUUCUAUCCAUUCCAACGAACGAACGAGUGUACAAUUACAGCAAUUAGAAUAUUUGCGU